CCCUUAGAUGUUUUGGGCCGCACGCGCGCUACAAUGAUGAAUUCAACGAGUUUAUAACCUUGGUUGAAAAGCCUGGGUAUUCUUUUGAACUUUCGUCGUGAUGGGGCUAGACCCUUGCAAUUAUUGGUCUCCAACGAGGAAUUCCUAGUAAACGCAAGUCAUCAGCUUGCAUUGAUUACGUCCCUGCCCUUUGUACACACCGCCCGUCGCACCUACCGAUUGAAUGGUCCGGUGAAAUCUUCGGAUUGAGACUUUGAUUUCUUCACGGAAAACGCUGUUUUAAAAAGUUGAUUAAACCUUACCAUUUAGAGGAAGGUGAAGUCGUAACA
rnacentral:rRNA from 1 species